CCGAAAGUGAUCUUGGCUGCCGUGUCCUGGUCAUUGGUAGUGCAGGGAAAGGAUGCGGAAAGACGGGCUCCGAGCUCGGGGCGUCUGGCCUGGAGCUUUCCUACACUUGUGUCUUUCUCUGCAGCCUUACGGAAGUGUGGGUGGCGCUUUCUGGAAGCUGCACAAGUCAGUGCUGGGUCUUCGCAACUUGGUGUUCUGUUUCCAGAAACUUGGGGUGUUUGCAUGUGCUAGGUCAGCACAGAUUUCCAAAGGCUCUCUAGGAUUGUCACGUGUGCUCAACAGUCCUCCUCAGCUUUCCAGAAGAGGCUGGAACAGGGCCCUUGAAGAUGUUUGUGGACAUCAGAGG
ensembl:processed_transcript Snhg17 small nucleolar RNA host gene 17